rnacentral:rRNA from 1 species
UACGGAGGGGGCUAGCGUUGUUCGGAAUUACUGGGCGUAAAGCGCACGUAGGCGGCUUUUUAAGUCAGAGGUGAAAGCCCGGGGCUCAACCCCGGAAUUGCCUUUGAGACUGGAUCGCUUGAACGUCGGAGAGGUGAGUGGAAUUCCGAGUGUAGAGGUGAAAUUCGUAGAUAUUCGGAAGAACACCAGUGGCGAAGGCGGCUCACUGGACGACUGUUGACGCUGAGGUGCGAAAGCGUGGGGAGCAAACAGGGAU